UUCGCAAUGCCCGAAAGGGUGACAAUGCGACGCCGCGUGAGCGAUGAAGGCCUUCGGGUUGUAAAGCUCUGUCAGUUGGGAUGAAUGUAGGAGAGUUAAUACCUCUUCUGAUUGACGGUACCAACAGAGGAAGCCACGGCUAACUCCGUGCCAGCAGCCGCGGUAAAACGAAGGUGGCUAGCGUUGUUCGGAAUUACUGGGCAUAAAGAGCGCGUAGGUGGUCUCGUAUGUCGACUGUGAAAUCCUAUGGCUCAACCAUAGAAUGGCCGUCGAAACUACCGGGCUUGAGGGCAGGAGGGGAGAGUGGAACUCCUGGUGUAGCGGUGAAAUGCGUAGAUAUCAGGAGGAACGCCGGUGGCGAAAGCGGCUCUCUGGUCUGCCACUGACGCUGAGGCGCGAAAGCCAGGGGAGCAAACGGGAUUAGAUACCCCGGUAGUCCUAGCCGUAAACGAUGGGCACUAAGUAGAGGGGUUUU
rnacentral:rRNA from 1 species